AGCGGCGGACGGGUGAGUAACGCGUGGGUAACCGUGCCUCAUACAGGGGGAUAACAGUUGGAAACGGCUGCUAAUACCGCAUAAGCGCACAGUACCGCAUGGUACGGUGUGAAAAACUCCGGUGGUAUGAGAUGGACCCGCGUCUGAUUAGGUAGUUGGUGGGGUAACGGGCCUACCAAGCCGACGAUCAGUAGCCGACCUGAGAGGGUGACCGGCCACAUUGGGACUGAGACACGGCCCAA
rnacentral:rRNA from 1 species